rnacentral:rRNA from 1 species
CCCGCUCAGAAACUUAAAGGAAGUUGACGGGGAGCACCACAACGGGUGGAGCCUGCGGUUUAAUUGGAUUCAACGCCGGACAACUCACCGGAUACGACAGCGGAAUGAUAGCCGGGCUGAAGACUCUGCUUGACUAGCUGAGAGGAGGUGCAUGGCCGUCGUCAGUUCGUACUGUGAAGCAUCCUGUUAAGUCAGGCAACGAGCGAGACCCACGCCAACAGUUGCCAGCAUGAUCUCCGGAUUGAUGGGGACACUGUUGGGACCGCCUCUGCUAAAGGGGAGGAAGGAAUGGGCAACGGUAGGUCAGCAUGCCCCGAAUUAUCCGGGCUACACGCGGGCUACAAUGGAUGGGACAAUGGGUUUCGACACCGAAAGGUGAAGGUAAUCUCCUAACCCCACCCGUAGUUCGGAUUGCGGGCUGCAACUCGCCCGCAUGAAGCUGGAAUCCGUAGUAAUCGCGUCUCACGAUGGCGCGGUGAAUAUGUCCCUGCUCCUU